rnacentral:lncRNA from 1 species
GAAACAGUCACCAUUCUUGGUCUGAUUCUGUGACAAUAGCCAGGACGGAGACGAUGCUUUCAGACUGAUGGCCUCCGAGCCAAGUUCCUAAGCAGCUGGAACGCUCCUGUUACACUGAUCGCUAACGUUGGAAAAUCAGAAGUAAGCAAAAAGGAUUCUGGAAGAAAAAAUAGACGCAAUUCUCUUUUCUGCCCUCUGUUUUCCAUCUAAUUUGUGGAUGGCAUCACCUCACUGGUAACACU